rnacentral:rRNA from 1 species
UACAGAGGGUGCGAGCGUUAAUCGGAAUUACUGGGCGUAAAGGGCGCGUAGGCGGUUAGUUAAGUUAGAUGUGAAAUCCCUGGGCUUAACCUAGGAACUGCAUCUGAUACUGGCUAGCUAGAGUGCAGUAGAGGGUAGUGGAAUUUCCGGUGUAGCGGUGAAAUGCGUAGAUAUCGGAAGGAACACCAGUGGCGAAGGCGGCUACCUGGACUGACACUGACGCUGAGAGGCGAAAGCCAGGGGAGCGAACGGG